AAUGAUGUUGGCUUUCAAUAUCAUACGUCACGUUCCAAGAGAAAAAGAAGCAUUACUGAAGGUGGAUCUAAGAGAGCUGCUAGAGAGAAAAAAAGGGAUGCUAGUCCUAAAAAAGGGAAUGUUGGUCUUGGGAAAAAGGAUGCUAGGGCAAAGAAAAGGGAUGUUAGUAAAAAGAAAAAAAAUGUCAGUGUGACAAAAAAGAGGGAUGUUCCUGAUUAUUUUGGAGUCGAGCUUUUCAGCUCAGGACGUUUCGCUCAACCUAAAAAUCCUUAUUUUGUGACCAAAAUCAGGCCAAGAAGACCCAGCGAUCUGUAUAUACCGAUUGAAGUCAUUAGGGAUCACAAUAUUGAAUUGCCUACAAAUGUGAUCCUGUGUGAUGAGAAAGGUAAAAAAUGGAACGCAUAUGUAAAGACAUGGAGUGAUGG